GUAUUAUGUUUCGACCAAUAAAGGUCUACAAUGACAUUCUAUAAACUUCAGGGGUGUGUAUUAAAACAUAGGCAGCAGAACUUAAUCCACCGCCUACAAUAAGUGCACAGGGGUUUGAAAAGGCGGAGUGCACAUGCGUCUUGCGACGCCAGCAACAUCCUUUGGAAUUCAAUAAUGAUCCUUCCGCAGGUUCACCUACGGAAA
rnacentral:misc_RNA from 1 species